rnacentral:rRNA from 1 species
GACGAACGCUGGCGGCGUGCUUAACACAUGCAAGUCGAACGGAAAGGCCCUGCUUUUGUGGGGUGCUCGAGUGGCGAACGGGUGAGUAACACGUGAGUAACCUGCCCUUGACUUUGGGAUAACUUCAGGAAACUGGGGCUAAUACCGGAUAGGAGCUCCUGCUGCAUGGUGGGGGUUGGACAGUUUCGGCGGUUGGGGAUGGACUCGCGUCUUAUCAGCUUGCUGGUGGGGUAGUGGCUUACCAAGGCUUUUAUGGGUAGCCGGCCUGGGCGGGUGACCGGCCACAUUGGGACUGAGAUACGGCCCAGACUCCUACAGGAGGCAGCAGUGCGAAAUAUUGCACAAUGAGCGGAAGCCUGAUGCAGCAACGCCACGUGCGAGAUAACGGCCUUCGGGUUGUAAACCUCUUUCGCCUGUGACGAAGCGUGAGUGACGGUAAUGGGUAAAGAAGCACCGGCUAACUACGUG